CAGUCGCCGCGGGAAUACGUAGGUGGCAAGCGUUGUCCGGAAUUAUUGGGCGUAAAGGGCUCGCAGGCGGUUUCUUAAGUCUGAUGUGAAAGCCCCCGGCUCAACCGGGGAGGGUCAUUGGAAACUGGGAAACUUGAGUGCAGAAGAGGAGAGUGGAAUUCCACGUGUAGCGGUGAAAUGCGUAGAGGUGUGGAGGAACACCAGUGGCGAAGGCGACUCUCUGGUCUGUAACUGACGCUGAGGAGCGAAAGCGUGGGGAGCGAACAGGAUUAGAGACCCCUGUAGUCCCUGUCUCUUAUAC
rnacentral:rRNA from 1 species